UUGACCUCGGAUCAGGUAGGGAUACCCGCUGAACUUAAGCAUAUCAAUAAGCGGAGGAAAAGAAACCAACAGGGAUUGCCUUAGUAACGGCGAGUGAAGCGGCAAUAGCUCAAAUUUGAAAGCUGGCGCCUUCGGCGUCCGCGUUGUAAUUUGUAGAGGAUGCUUCGGCGAGGACUCCUGCCUAAGUCCCCUGGAACGGGGCGUCACAGAGGGUGAGAAUCCCGUAUGUGGCGGGCGGUCCGAGCCAUGUGAAGCUCCUUCGACGAGUCGAGUUGUUUGGGAAUGCAGCUCUAAAUGGGAGGUAAAUUUCUUCUAAAGCUAAAUACUGGCCAGAGACCGAUAGCGCACAAGUAGAGUGAUCGAAAGAUGAAAAGCACUUUGGAAAGAGAGUUAAAAAGUACGUGAAAUUGUUGAAAGGGAAGCGCUUGCAACCAGACUCGCCCGCAGUUGCUCAGCCGGCCUCUUGGCCGGCGUACUCUUCUGCGGUCGGGCCAGCAUCGGUUUGGGCGGCUGGAUAAAGGUGGCGGGAAUGUAGCACCCUUCGGGGUGUGUUAUAGCCCGUCGCGGAAUGCGGCCAGCCUGGACCGAGGAUCUCGCUUCGGCAAGGAUGCUGGCGUAAUGGUUGUAAGCGGCCCGUCU
rnacentral:rRNA from 1 species